GUAUUUUAUUGCGUUAAACGCGGCCCACAUUCCAUAAGACUUUACUACGGCGUAUGUGUAAAGACGUAGAACUACGGGAAGAAGACGGCAAGCCCUCCAGACCAUAGAACUACGGGGGGUGCACAGGUGUGAGUGGAUGUGUGAACAGAGCGUGCACAUGCCCCCUUGCUUUGAGGACCAGCAACAGCUCAUGUCGACAACUCAGUAAUGAUCCUUCCGCAGGUUCACCUACGGAAA
rnacentral:misc_RNA from 1 species